rnacentral:lncRNA from 1 species
CCUUCUCAUAAUCCUUCUCAAAGUCAACCGUGUCGUCACAAGACUCAGGAAACCCUCCUUCCUCCAUGUCCUCACCCACAUACCAGUGAGGAAAAAAAGCACGCUUGGCAUACAUCAGGUCAAAUUUGUGGUCUAGGAGAACCCAGGCCUCAGCAAUGACUGUGGUGUUGCUCAGCAUGCACACAGCUCACUGUACUUUGGACAGGUCUUCACCAGGUACCACAGUGGGAGGCUGGUAAUUAAUACCAACUUGAAAGUCAGUGGGAUACUAGUCCACAAACUGGAUAGUAUACUUGGUCUUAAUGGGGGCAAUGGCACCAUUGACAUCUUUGGGAACCACAUUGCCACAGUACUAUAGGUAUCAAACCAUGUAUUUACCAUGAUGAGAGUCACAUUUCUCCAUCUUUUUGGCCACUCAAAGCAUGCAGUGGUGAUCUUUGCUACAGAAAGCUGUUCAUGGUAGGCUUUCUCAACAGAAAUGAUGGGCAUAUGUGACCAGAGGGAAAUGGAUUUGGGGAUAAGGAACCAGGUUGGUCUGGAAUUCUGUCAGGUCAACAUUCAGGGCUCCAUCAAUUCUGAGGGAAGCAGUGAUGGAAGACCCAAUCUGACCUACCAAUCUACCAGGUUAUGUAUGUUGGGUGUUCAAUACCAAAGUUUCUGUGACAGAUGUCAUAGAUAGCCUCAUUGUCUACCAUGAAGGCAUAAUCAGAGUGCUCCAGGUGGUAUGGGUAGUGAGAAGGAAGUUGUAGGGCUCAACUACAGCUCUGGGGCUGGGUAAAUAAAGAAAUCCAGCUUGGACUUCUUGCCAUAAUAAAGAGACAUUCCAUCAGCAGGGAGGUGAA